CCUACGGGAGGCAGCAGUCGAGAAUCAUUCACAAUGGGGGAAACCCUGAUGGUGCGACGCCGCGUGGGGGAAUGAAGGUCUUCGGAUUGUAAACCCCUGUUAUGUGGGAGCAAAUUAAAAAGAUAGUACCACAACAGGAAGAGACGGCUAACUCUGUGCCAGCAGCCGCGGUAAUACAGAGGUCUCAAGCGUUGUUCGGAAUCACUGGGCGUAAAGCGUGCGUAGGCUGUUUCGUAAGUCGUGUGUGAAAGGCGCGGGCUCAACCCGCGGACGGCACAUGAUACUGCGAGACUAGAGUAAUGGAGGGGGAACCGGAAUUCUCGGUGUAGCAGUGAAAUGCGUAGAUAUCGAGAGGAACACUCGUGGCGAAGGCGGGUUACUGGACAUUAACUGACGCUGAGGCACGAAGGCCAGGGGAGCGAAAGGGAUUAGAUACCCUUGUAGUC
rnacentral:rRNA from 1 species